rnacentral:rRNA from 1 species
AUUGAACGCUGGCGGCAGGCUUAACACAUGCAAGUCGAGCGGGGGGAGGUAGCUUGCUACCGGACCUAGCGGCGGACGGGUGAGUAAUGCUUAGGAAUCUGCCUAUUAGUGGGGGACAACAUCUCGAAAGGGAUGCUAAUACCGCAUACGUCCUACGGGAGAAAGCAGGGGAUCUUCGGACCUUGCGCUAAUAGAUGAGCCUAAGUCGGAUUAGCUAGUGGGUGGGGUAAAGGCCUACCAAGGCGACGAGCUGUAGCGGGUCUGAGAGGAUGAUCCGCCACACUGGGACUGAGACACGGCCCAGACUCCUACGGGAGGCAGCAGUGGGGAAUAUUGGACAAUGGGGGGAACCCUGAUCCAGCCAUGCCGCGUGUGUGAAGAAGGCCUUAUGGUUGUAAAGCACUUUAAGCGAGGAGGAGGCUACUUUAGUUAAUACCUAGAGAUAGUGGACGUUACCCGCAGAAUAAGCACCGGCUAACUCUGUGCCAGCCGCCGCCGUAA